rnacentral:rRNA from 1 species
CGGUGUGAGUAACUCGUAAAGAACUUGCCCUUUAGACUGGGAUAACAGAGGGAAACUUCUGAUAAUACUGGAUAAGUUAGUAUAUCGCAUGAUAUGCAAAUGAAAGCUACGGCACUAAAGGAGAGCUUUGCGUCCUAUUAGCUAGUUGGUAAGGUAAGAGCUUACCAAGGCGAUGAUAGGUAGCCGGCCUGAGAGGGUGGACGGCCACAAGGGGACUGAGAUACGGCCCUUACUCAUACGGGAGGCAGCAGCA